AGCAGGAGGACAGCAGCCAGCGCUGAGAGGCCCAGGCGCAGGGGGACACCGUCGGGGACGUCGCGCUGGAGCAACCGCUCCCGCCAGCCACGUCGGGCCUCAACUCGGACCUCUAACAGCAGCACGUAGUGUCAUCUUCUCUUUCUAGUCCCUCUGUUUGUGGCUGUAAGUGAAGUAAAGCCUUUCUUCAGUAAAGCAGAGGGAGAAGGAAGAGAGUGAGACACUGCCUCAAGUGUCUGGAGAAAUCGACUGCGACACUGCUGCUGAUUUAAAAGACUUGCUUGGACCUUCAAAGGUCAAACCGGAAAAGACAGUGGAAAUAGCCUGGGACCAAGAGGAUGCGCAGGACUCUGCCCCAGACGAAUGUCUGGGACCUUUGCCUGAAAACGACGGAACUCAGGAGUCGAGUGCUUUCAAGUUUUCCUUCUUUGAAGACACAGAGGAGUUGGGCAUCAAAGAAGGGCCUCACAUACUUGGAACGAUAAAACCGGAAAAAGUCACGUGGCAAGAGGAUUCACAUUUCCAAGACAUCACUUCUGAGGGUGCUGAUGAGCCGGAGAUGUCAGAAAUUGCAAAGCACCAAGAAAGGGUUCUUUCUCUACCACGCACAGAAAGUGCUAGAGUUUUCUUCUUCUCCAUAGAUGACGCACGCCUAAGAGGUAUGACACAACUUCUUCAGUCCCCUUUUGUAUAUUUUUCCCUUUUAAACCCUUACUGGACUUGAGUAAGGAAGAAAAAAUGCUG
rnacentral:lncRNA from 1 species